AAUGAACGUUGGCGGCGUGGAUUAGGCAUGCAAGUCGUGCGCGAAUCGUAGCAAUACGAGGAGAGCGGCGAAAGGGAGAGGAUAGCAUAGAUACCUACCCUCGGACCUGGGAUGGCUAUGGGAAACUAUAGGUAAUACCAGAUAAUGUCUCCGGACCAAAGGUGUGAUUCCGUCCGGGGAGGGGUCUAUGUCCUAUUAGCUUGUUGGUGAGGUAACGGCUCACCAAGGCAAAGAUGGGUACGAGGCGUGAGAGCGUGUCCUCGCUCACUGGGACUGAGACACUGCCCAGACACCUACGGGUGGCUGCAGUCGAGAAUCUUCGGCAAUGGGCGCAAGCCUGACCGAGCGACGCCGCGUGUGGGAUGAAGGCCUUCGGGUUGUAAACUACUGUCAGUGCGGAGGAAAUAUAGUGGGGUUCUCCCCAUUAUUUGACCUAUGCGCAGAGGAAGGACGGGCUAAGUUCGUGCCAGCAGCCGCCGUAA
rnacentral:rRNA from 1 species